rnacentral:rRNA from 1 species
UAGGGAAUCUUCCACAAUGGACGCAAGUCUGAUGGAGCAACGCCGCGUGAGUGAAGAAGGUUUUCGGAUCGUAAAGCUCCGUUGUUGGUGAAGAAGGAUAGAGGUAGUAACUGGCCUUUAUUUGACGGUAAUCAACCAGAAAGUCACGGCUAACUACGUGCCAGCAGCCGCGGUAAUACGUAGGUGGCAAGCGUUGUCCGGAUUUAUUGGGCGUAAAGCGAGCGCAGGCGGAAGAAUAAGUCUGAUGUGAAAGCCCUCGGCUUAACCGAGGAAUUGCAUCGGAAACUGUUUUCUUGAGUGCAGAAGAGGAGAGUGGAACUCCAUGUGUAGCGGUGGAAUGCGUAGAUAUAUGGAAGAACACCAGUGGCGAAGGCGGCUCUCUGGUCUGCAACUGACGCUGAGGCUCGAAAGCAUGGGUAGCGAACAGGAUUAGAUACCCUGGUAGUCCAUGCCGUAAACGAUGAGUGCUAAGUGUUGGGGAGGUUUUCCGCCUCUCAGUGCUGCAGCUAACGCAUUAAGCACUCCGCCUGGGGGAGUACGACCGCAAGGUUGAAAC